rnacentral:rRNA from 1 species
GCUUAUCUGGUUGAUCCUGCCAGUAGUCAUACGCUCGUCUCAAAGAUUAAGCCAUGCAUGUGUAAGUAUAAAUAGUUAACUUUGAAACUGCGAAUGGCUCAUUAUAUCAGUUAUAGUUUAUUUGAUGAAGAAUACUAAUUGGAUAACCGUAGUAAUUCUAGAGCUAAUACAUGUAUAAAGUCUUGUAGACUGCAUUUAUUAGAAUGAAAACCAUAGGUUUCGGCCUAUUCGUGAGUAAUAAUAACUAAUCAUAUCGUAUGCUUAAGUAACGAUGUGUCUUUCAAGUUUCUGCCCUAUCAGCUUUCGAUGGUAGUGUAUUGGACUACCAUGGCAGUAACGGGUAACGAAGAA